UAACAUCCGGAAACGGGUGCUAAUACCGCAUAGUUUUCUUGAUCGCAUGAUUGAGAAAGGAAAGAUGGCCUUUGUGCUGUCGCUUAUGGAUGGACCCGCGGCGUAUUAGUUAGUUGGUGAGGUAACGGCUCACCAAGACGAUGAUACGUAGCCGACCUGAGAGGGUGAUCGGCCACAUUGGGACUGAGACACGGCCCAAACUCCUACGGGAGGCAGCAGUAGGGAAUCUUCCGCAAUGGACGAAAGUCUGACGGAGCAACGCCGCGUGAGUGAAGAAAAGGUUUUCGGAUCGUAAAACUCUGUUGUCAGAGAAGAACAAGUUGGAGAGUAACUGCUCCAGCCUUGACGGUAUCUGACCAGAAAGCCACGGCUAACUACGUGCCAGCCGCGGC
rnacentral:rRNA from 1 species